rnacentral:rRNA from 1 species
UACAGAGGUGGCAAGCGUUGUUCGGAAUUACUGGGCGUAAAGGGCGCGUAGGCGGCCUACUAAGUCAGACGUGAAAUCCCCCGGCUUAACCUGGGAACUGCGUCUUGAUACUGGAAGGCUUGAGGAUGGGAGAGGGAUGUAGAAUUCCAGGUGUAGCGGUGAAAUGCGUAGAUAUCUGGAGGAAUACCGGUGGCGAAGGCGGCAUCCUGGACCAUUACUGACGCUGAGGCGCGAAAGCUAGGGGAGCAAAC